GACAGAGGGGGCAAGCGUUGCUCGGAAUCACUGGGCGUAAAGGGCGCGUAGGCGGCCAACUAAGUCAGACGUGAAAUCCCUCGGCUUAACCGGGGAACUGCGUCUGAUACUGGAUGGCUUGAGUUCGGGAGGAGGAUGCGGAAUUCCAGGUGUAGCGGUGAAAUGCGUAGAUAUCUGGAGGAACACCGGUGGCGAAGGCGGCAUCCUGGACCGACACUGACGCUGAGGAGCGAAAGCCAGGGGAGCAAACGGG
rnacentral:rRNA from 1 species